GAUGAAGAACGCAGCGAAAUGCGAUAAGUAAUGUGAAUUGCAGAAUUCAGUGAAUCAUCGAAUCUUUGAACGCACAUUGCGCCCCUUGGUAUUCCAUGGGGCAUGCCUGUUCGAGCGUCAUUUGUACCUUCAAGCUCUGCUUGGUGUUGGGUGUUUGUCUCGCCUCUGCGUGUAGACUCGCCUUAAAACAAUUGGCAGCCGGCGUAUUGAUUUCGGAGCGCAGUACAUCUCGCGCUUUGCACUCAUAACGACGACGUCCAAAAGUACAUUUUUACACUCUUGACCUCGGAUCAGGUAGGGAUACCCGCUGAACUUAAGCAUAUCAAUAAGCGGAGGA
rnacentral:misc_RNA from 1 species